GAGACUGCCAGGGAUAACCUGGAGGAAGGUGGGGAUGACGUCAAAUCAUCAUGCCCCUUAUGCUUAGGGCUACACACGUGCUACAAUGGGUAGUACAGAGGGUUGCCAAGCCGUAAGGUGGAGCUAAUCCCUUAAAGCUACUCUCAGUUCGGAUUGUAGGCUGAAACUCGCCUACAUGAAGCUGGAGUUACUAGUAAUCGCAGAGCAGAAUGCUGCGGUGAAUGCGUUCCCGGGUCUUGUACACACCGCCCGUCACACCACGGGAGUUGGAGACGCCCGAAGCCGAUUAUCUAACCUUUUGGAAGAAGUCGUCGAAGGUGGAAUCAAUAACUGGGGUGAAGUCGUAACAAGGUAGCCGUAUCGGAAGGUGCGGCUGGAUCACCUCCUUUCUAAGGAGA
rnacentral:rRNA from 1 species